rnacentral:rRNA from 1 species
GAUGAACGCUGGCGGCGCGCCUAACACAUGCAAGUCGAACGGAUAAAUCACCUUUUAGGUGUGUAUAAAGUGGCGAACGGCUGAUUAACACGUGGGCAACCUGCCCUCCUCUUGGGGGUAGCCUCGGGAAACCGAGGAUAAUACCCGAUACUUCAAUGUGGCCGCAUGACGACAUUGAGAAAGCUUUUGCCGGGAAGGAUGGGCGCGCGGCCUCUUAGCUUGUUGGUGGGGUAGAGGGCUACCAAGGUAAUGAGGGGUAGCUGGGUUGAGAGACCGACCAGCGAGCCAGGGACUGAGAGAAGGCCGAGGCAGGGACGGGAGGGAGAAGGGGGGAAGCCUGACGAAUGGGCGCAGGCCGGAUGCAGCGACGCUGCGGGCGGGAAGAAGGCCUUAGGGUUGAAAAACGAAUUCAGCAGGGACGAGGCGCUAAGUGACGGUACCUGCAGAAGAAGCCACGGCUAACUACGUG